AUGGAUCUGCCUCAGUCUAGUGAUUGCAAAAGCCCUUUUGAUUUGCCAUUUGUCUGCUCCAAGGAGAUGAAACCCAUUUUUCAAAGAAAAAAAAAUCACUAUUUUUCUGCUGGUACAAAAACUUCUAAGAAAAUAAACCAGUACAAGAUUGGAUCCAGAACAUAUGGCAUGCAUAUAAAUGCAGUGCUAAAAAAAUAAUAGACACAUGGAACCCAAUUAUAAAAUGGGAGUUCUCCACUGAACAGUAACAGAACAUCCAAAGAAUAUUUAAAUGAAGAAUUACAGCAAUAUAUGAAAAGGUUUAAGAGUAAGGUAGGCAUGUUAAACAUACAGUUCCUGGUUUUAGAACAAGAGAAAAUUCAACUUCAAAAGGAGGUUGAGGUUCAUUUGUUAUGACUUUUUUUCCCUCUUUAUCAGUUUCCAAUCCAUUCUGAUUUUUCCCUUAUGAAAAUAGCUUAUGUAUAAAACGGGGUCAUCUAAAUAUGUAAUUGGUGAAAAAUAAUCUAUUUUCACCAUCUAAAUAAAAGGAGUUCAGGAACAUAUUUUCGUGGGUUUUGUUCCUUAACCAUCCUAAGUCUCUGUCAGUCUUUCAUAUGGACUGGGAAACUAAUUCAGCUACCAUGUGACCUUCUGAGCCAGAAUAAGCACUGAAGAAUUUGCUUAAGAAAUAUAUAAGCUAGAGGAUUUUUUCCCACUUAAAAUAUAUUUGCUUAAAUAUUUAUAAACUGCAUUUCCAUAGAAUGAGAAGGUAGCAGUGACUGAAAGAAGGGACAUAAACAUUUAUUUACUCUAAUCUAUUCAUUGUGUUUUAAUAUGUGCAGCUUUACCUGCUUUACUCAGUCCCUUGGAACUUAGAAUUCCAAAUAUUCCAAUAUUGAAAUAUUUUUAAUAAGAAAUAUAUGUACUCUUACAUAUUAUUUAAUUACCACUUUCAGAUGUUUCUGUUGUCAGACCUUUAUGUUGUUUCAUAAAAUGUAGUAAGGUUUGACAUACAUGAUUUUAUCAUAUAGGUAAUAUAAACCCUCAGCAAAAACAAAAAGAUCAGUAUUUAUCUCCAAAAGAGAAAACUAAGUAUUAAGGUGUAUUGAGCUUUUUUCCUCAAGCAAUAGAUUUUUUAAAUUUGUUUGUUUUCUCUUUUGUAUAAUAGGUGUCCUGAGUUUUAAAGAUAGACAAAUCUGGUGAUAUUCUUCUUUAAAAGAAAAAGGAGAUGAACCCUACCCCCAAUUAAGACAUUGAAUUACUUUACCAAAGUCACACUUUAAGUAACUUUACAGUAAGUUAACCUGAUUAAUGAGUUUAUUUGGUAAUUUAUCAGAUUCAGUGUUACAGAAUUGUAUCAUCUCUUGGUGCCUUAAAAUGCUAGGGAAUGCUACAUCAGGGCCUUUAGACAAAUCAUUUAUCUUUCUUGGUUUUAUUCCCAUUAUCAGUAAAUAGUAUGGAUAAAGUAGAUAAUUACUUCUGUACCCUCUAUCUGUAAGAUUUUAUGGUUAUUGGGUAUGAAAUUUGGAAACAGCACUCAUUUUCCAGAAUUCCAUACUGACUAACAGUUCAUCAGUUUCACUCUUUCCUUCUGGUUUGGUCAACUUUGGUUCAUGUAUUUUAGUGAACAUCAUCACUUUCAUGAUAUCCUCAGGACACAAAUUUUAAAAAAGGAUUGUAAAAGACAGUGGAGGAAGAAUAGCUUUAGUGUGGGAAGAAGAAUGUUUCCCUUUUGUUCUCAAGCAUCACACCUUCUAAAUCUGGCUGAUUAAUAGAUAAUCCAGGCGGUAAAGUCAGAAGAGGAUAAAUUCUGUGUCCUUGCCUUGUUAUUUCUCUAUCUCUACCAGUCAGACAGGGGAAACAGGAUGUGAAUAAGAAAUAUAACACAACAUUAAGAAAGUUCUUUUUGAAAUUUUGGAAAUUCUAUUUCUUUUCCUCAGACAGAAAGAAAUAGAAUUUCCAAAAUUUCAAUGACUUGUAAUGAUGAAGUAGGCAUAAAAAUAUUUAGCAAUUAAAACCAGACCAAAAUCUGAGCCAAAUGAUAAAUAAUGAAGACAAAAAGUCUUUAUAAUGAAUAAUGUAAUAACAGUUAUCCUCAGUGUCAGACUUUCAUGAAAGGUCCAAGAAGAAAAGGAGCAGCACAGAAGGAGUGUAAUGGCAAUAUCAGAAAACAAAUGUGAUGCUGCUGAUGAGAGAAGAUUAUUUCAGCAGUGGGUCAGGGACUAAUAACCAGCAGUUUCCUACUCUGGACAAUGUAUAUUCUGACAGGUAAGCUAUAUCAAUAUUUAGUGGUAAGUUAUUGUUAUUUUCCUGUAAAACCCAUUCUAAUUUGAACUAAUGUUCAUGGUUAACAAAUUUUAUAUUUUACUAGGGAUAUAAUAGUGUAAGUAUUACUUAUUACAGUGUUAGAGUAUUCUGGAUUUGACUGUAUGCUGACCUUUCCCAGUGUGAUGUCUAUUUAAAUAAGUUCAAUGUUUCUAAUUAGGUUCCUUUCAUUUCAGCUUGAAGACUUCUUUCAGCAUAUUUUGUGAAGCAGUUCUAGUGGUGAUGAACUUUGGUUUGUCUGGGGAAAUCAAUGUUGCCUUUAUUUUUGAAAGACAACUUUUUUGGGUAGAGUAUUCUUGGUUGCCAUUUUUUUUUCUUUUAGUGCUGUGCAUAUGUCAUCCUACUCUCUUGAGACCCAUUGAGGGAUUUAAAGGUUCACUUACAAUUUACAAGCCUCUUUUCUCCUGCUGCUUUUAAGAUUCUUUGUCUUUGACUUUUGACAGUUUGAUUAUAAUGUCUUUUGCUGAAGAUUUCUUUAUGUUGAGUUUGGUGAUCUACGAACUUUAGGAACUUGGCUGUCCAAAUCUCUCACCAAAUAGGAAGUCCUCAGUCAUUUUUUUCUGUAAUCUUUCUGCCACCUUCUCCCUACCUUUUUUUUUGUUUGUUUGUUUGUUUUUGUCUUUUUGCUAUUUCUUGGGCUGCACCUGUGGCAUAUGGAGGUUCCCAGGCUAGGGGUCAAAUUGAAGCUGUAGCCACCAGCCUACGCCAGAGCCACAGCAACGCUGGAUCCAAGCCGUGUCUGCAACCUACACCACAGCUCGCGGCAACACCAGGUCGUUAACCCACUGAGCAAGGGCAGGGACCAAACCCGCAACCUCUUGAUUCCUAGUCGGAUUCGUUAACCACUGCGCCACGGCGGAAACUCCUUCUCCCUAUCUUUUCACCUCUCUGUCUUUGCAUGUCUCUAUAUUUUCAUAUCCCUGUCUUCAACUUUCUCCCUGUCUUAACUGCAUUAAUUCAGGAAUUGUUAUUUUUGUUGGUACCUGGUAAGUCAUGUAGGCUUUCUUGACACAUUUUCCUUCUUUUUUCAUUUGUUUUCCUCUUACUGGAUAAUUUCAAAGUUCCUGUCUCUGAAUUCAUAGGUUCUUUCUUCUGCUUAAUCCAUUCUGCUGUCAGCCCUCUUCAUUGUGUUUUUCCUUUCAUUCACUGUGUUCUUUGUCACCAGAAUUUCCAUUUGGCCCUUUAUUAUUAUUUCCAUCUUUUGGUUAACUUUCUCAUUUUGUUUAUUAUUUUUCUGAUUUUGUUGUCUUUCUGUGUUUUCUUGUAGCUCACUGAGUUUCCUUAAAAUGGCUAUUUUAGUUCUUUAUCAUGUAGAAUGCCAUUCUUCAUGCCUUUGGGAUUAGUUAGUGGAAGAUUAUUGUGUUCCUUUGAUGGUAUCAUGUUUUCCUGAUUUUUCAUGUUCCUUUAAGUUUAGCAUUGCUGUCUUUGCCUUUCAAGUAGCAGUUACCUCUUCUUGUCUUUAAUAAAUGCCCUCUCCAGUGUGUCCAAACACGUAUUUUUUUCAUUCCAGUGGUGUGCUGAGACUUCUCUGCUGGAAACCUGGAUUUACACAAAGGCUCCCUAAUCUAUGGGAGAUUAUCUAAGACAAUGUUUCCAUGGGCUUUCUGGAAGUGGCUAAGAGUGGCUGGAACAAGUUCAUGGGGCAGGCUGGGUCC
rnacentral:lncRNA from 9 species